AACUUUCAGCAAUGGAUCACUUGGUUCUCGCAUCGAUGAAGAACGCGGCGAAAUGCGAUAAGUAAUGUGAAUUGCAGAUUUCAGUGAAUCAUCGAAUCUUUGAACGCACCUUGAGCUCCUAGGUCUUCCGAGGAGCAUGCCUGUUUGAGUGUCCAGAACUUGCAUCAAACCCUCCCAUCUUGCGGUGGAAGGGUUUGGAGUUGGAGUUGCCUGCUGUUGGCGUUUGCCUACAGCUCCUCCCAAAUGCAUUAGCUGGCCAGUAGUGGGGCUCGCCAUAGGCUUGAUAAUAUCUUGUCUUCGCCGUGUGCGACCUUGCUUGGCUGCUGAUAGUCGUCUGCGCAGCGGACAAUUAAUUUUAAGAUCGGACCUCAAAUCAGGUAGGACUACCCGCUGAACUUAAGCAUAUCAAUAAGCGGAGGCU
rnacentral:misc_RNA from 1 species